UUAGACAUCCGAUACGUAUUAAUUAUCUAUAUUUUACCCAUGCUUGUUAAGAAGAUGAUCUUCAAUUCCUAAUGUUCUUGGCUUCCAAAGCUUGCCAACUGAACAUCAUUUAUUGGCAACCAUUUAACUUCAUUUUGCUGGCUUUGUGCUGCUAUUGUUGUUGUUAAUUCAUUGUUUUAGUUGUUUUGCUUUCAAAAUUCAUGACAGUAUGAGGAACACGGAGAGAAUUUUGUGGACAUGUUAGAUGAGAUUUUCUCAUUUGUGCUUUUGGAUACAAGAGACAACAGAUUCAUUGUUGCCAGAGAUGUCUAAGAGAUGUCUUAGGUGUCACAUCCCUCUACAUUGGAUGGAGUCUUAAUGGUUCUGUUUGGAUAUCAUCAGAAAUGAAAAGUAUUUAUUGAUUGAUUGAUGAUUGUGAACAUUUUGAGACCUUUCCACAUGGACAUCUCUAUUUGAGCAAAGCAGAAGGAUUUAAGAGAUGGUACAACCAUUCGUGGUACUCAGAGUCCAUUCCUUCUGCUCCUUAUGAUCCGCAGGUGGAUGCAAUUGACUUCUAUGCAGAGAAGAUCAAAGAACUUGAUAAAAAAAGCAACAGGAUUAAUUAAGGAUCGUGCAUGAUAAGUUCAAAGAAGAUGUCAAUCAGCACCUCUUGGACUACAAGAAUAUCAUCGAGGAGUUCCAAACUAAUCAAAUGGAGCUUAAAACAAACUUGGAGAGACAAAGUAGGCGAAAUUACAUUUUGUUGUUCAAUUUGAUCUAUAAAAGAAUCUCAUGCUCUCAGUAAUUCUAAGGUUUUGCUAGUAAUUUCCUUUUCGCUAAGUUAGGGAUCUAGCAUGUCCUUCAACUGACUACAAUAGCCUUGAAGCUUCGAGGCUCUAGUGGUCUUUCUCCACAUUAGUCUGGUAAAAGGAUACAUUGUAUUCUAUUCGGUUUUUGUUGGUAAAACGCCAUUAACUUUGUUGAUUUCUUUUGGUUCUUUUGUACUCAUAAGUAUCGCACAAAAAGCUUCUUCUGUAAGUUGAAGAUC